ACGAACGCUGGCGGCGUGCUUAACACAUGCAAGUCGAACGGAAAGGCCCUGCUUUUGUGGGGUGCUCGAGUGGCGAACGGGUGAGUAACACGUGAGUAACCUGCCCUUGACUUUGGGAUAACUUCAGGAAACUGGGGCUAAUACCGGAUAGGAGCUCCUGCUGCAUGGUGGGGGUUGGAAAGUUUCGGCGGUUGGGGAUGGACUCGCGGCUUAUCAGCUUGUUGGUGGGGUAGUGGCUUACCAAGGCUUUGACGGGUAGCCGGCCUGAGAGGGUGACCGGCCACAUUGGGACUGAGAUACGGCCCAGACUCCUACGGGAGGCAGCAGUGGGGAAUAUUGCACAAUGGGCGGAAGCCUGAUGCAGCAACGCCGCGUGCGGGAUGACGGCCUUCGGGUUGUAAACCGCUUUCGCCUGUGACGAAGCGUGAGUGACGGUAAUGGGUAAAGAAGCACCGACUAGCUACGUGCCAGCAGCCGCGGUGAUACGUAGGGUGCGAGCGUUGUCCGGAUUUAUUGGGCGUAAAGGGCUCGUAGGUGGUUGAUCGCGUCGGAAGUGUAAUCUUGGGGCUUAACCCUGAGCGUGCUUUCGAUACGGGUUGACUUGAGGAAGGUAGGGGAGAAUGGAAUUCCUGGUGGAGCGGUGGAAUGCGCAGAUAUCAGGAGGAACACCAGUGGCGAAGGCGGUUCUCUGGGCCUUUCCUGACGCUGAGGAGCGAAAGCGUGGGGAGCGAACAGGCUUAGAUACCCUGGUAGUCCACGCUGUAAACGGUGGGUACUAGGUGUGGGGUCCAUUCCACGGGUUCCGUGCCGUAGCUAACGCUUUAAGUACCCCGCCUGGGGAGUACGGCCGCAAGGCUAAAACUCAAAGGAAUUGACGGGGCCCCGCACAAGCGGCGGAGCAUGCGGAUUAAUUCGAUGCAACGCGUAGAACCUUACCUGGGUUUGACAUGGAUCGGGAGUGCUCAGAGAUGGGUGUGCCUCUUUUGGGGUCGGUUCACAGGUGGUGCAUGGCUGUCGUCAGCUCGUGUCGUGAGAUGUUGGGUUAAGUCCCGCAACGAGCGCAACCCUUGUUCACUGUUGCCAGCACGUUAUGGUGGGGACUCAGUGGAGACCGCCGGGGUCAACUCGGAGGAAGGUGGGGAUGACGUCAAGUCAUCAUGCCCCUUAUGUCCAGGGCUUCACGCAUGCUACAAUGGCUGGUACAGAGAGUGGCGAGCCUGUGAGGGUGAGCGAAUCUCGGAAAGCCGGUCUCAGUUCGGAUUGGGGUCUGCAACUCGACCUCAUGAAGUCGGAGUCGCUAGUAAUCGCAGAUCAGCAACGCUGCGGUGAAUACGUUCCCGGGGCUUGUACACACCGCCCGUCAAGUCAUGAAAGUUGGUAACACCCGAAGCCGGUGGCCUAACCGUUGUGGGGGAGCCGUCGAAGGUGGGACUGGUGAUUAGG
rnacentral:rRNA from 1 species